UACGUACUGCGCGAGCGUUAUUCGGAAUCACUGGGCUUAAAGGGUGCGCAGGCGGCUGUUCAAGCCUGAUGUGAAAGACUCCGGCCUAACCGGGGACCCGCAUCGGGAACCGAACGGCUUGAGAGGGGCAGGGGCAUGUGGAACUCCCGGUGGAGCGGUGAAAUGUGUUGAGAUCGGGAGGAACACCGGUGGCGAAAGCGACAUGCUGGGCCCCCUCUGACGCUCAGGCACGAAAGCCAGGGGAGCGAACGGG
rnacentral:misc_RNA from 1 species